rnacentral:rRNA from 1 species
UGGGGAAUAUUGCACAAUGGGCGCAAGCCUGAUGCAGCCAUGCCGCGUGUAUGAAGAAGGCCUUCGGGUUGUAAAGUACUUUCAGCGAGGAGGAAGGCGUUGUGGUUAAUAACCGCAACGAUUGACGUUACUCGCAGAAGAAGCACCGGCUAACUCCGUGCCAGCAGCCGCGGUAAUACGGAGGGUGCAAGCGUUAAUCGGAAUUACUGGGCGUAAAGCGCACGCAGGCGGUCGGUCAAGUCGGAUGUGAAAUCCCCGGGCUCAACCUGGGAACUGCAUCCGAAACUGGCAGGCUAGAGUCGUGUAGAGGGGGGUAGAAUUCCAGGUGUAGCGGUGAAAUGCGUAGAGAUCUGGAGGAAUACCGGUGGCGAAGGCGGCCCCCUGGACAAAGACUGACGCUCAGGUGCGAAAGCGUGGGGAGCAAACA